GAGGCUCAGGCUGCCUCUCGGGGCUGGUGAUGUGUGAGCAGCAAGGAAUUCGUCUGUAGGUGGCACUGCGGGGCUCACUGGGGAAGCACAGGAAAUCUGGCGGAAAGGUCUUACAAGCAUUUUCAGCUACAAAUCCACAAGUUUAAGUUGCCAUAGAAACGUGAGAGGGCAGAAUCCCCGGAGACUGGCUGACAGGUCCAUCUGGGCAGACUGUUGUCAGGGUCGUGUUGCACUGUGGCAAGAGGUCAGAUGAGCUCUCAAGGGUUCCCCAGCAGGUGGAACCAUAGAGCCACUGGGGCCUGGAUCAGGAUCACCCUCCUAAGGCAGCCUCCUGGCUCCUGAGGGAGUGUGGGAUGGAUGAAGGCAGAGCAGGAACCCAAGGACCCUGGCUCUUCACGCGUCUUGAAGUGAUGCAGUUACAAUGAGGCUGGACAGCACCCGUGGAAGGCAGCAUGACUCCCCUUCAGACACAGCCCAGCUUCAGGACACAAACCCAGAGGAAAUUCUGAAGGGCCUUAAAGACCAUAAGUUAUACACCGGCCCUGGGCAUGGCCUUUGUGUAAACUAUGCCCUCUCCUGCCAAGCCUGACUUUGAUAAGCCACUGUGGAGAAGACAGCAGACUUCAGCACCAGGUGUAAAUGGAUUGCACCUAACACAGCCCACCCAGUGGGAGAGCCCGACAGACCCCAGGACAUGUCCUUUGUGGGAAGUGUAGGGACACCCAGUCCCUGUAAAUACACCGGCUCGAGGCCAUGAGCCACCUCUGCCUGAGGCCGCACUCUUUCUUUGAGUGUGGACUAUAAAAGUCUGCCCAAUAAACCUCUUCAUGCUUUUUA